CUCGCGAUAGCUCAGAUGGUAGAGCGGUGGACUGUAGCGGAAACAGGGUAGCUCCUGUAACUGAAAUCCAUCGGUCGAGUGUUCGAUUCACUCUCGCGAGA